GAUGAACGCUGGCGGCGUGCCUAAUACAUGCAAGUAGAACGCUGAAGGAGGAGCUUGCUCUUCUGGAUGAGUUGCGAACGGGUGAGUAACGCGUAGGUAACCUGCCUGGUAGCGGGGGAUAACUAUUGGAAACGAUAGCUAAUACCGCAUGACAACAGUUAUUGCAUGAUAACUGUUUAAAAGGGGCAACUGCUCCACUACCAGAUGGACCUGCGUUGUAUUAGCUAGUUGGUGAGGUAACGGCUCACCAAGGCGACGAUACAUAGCCGACCUGAGAGGGUGAUCGGCCACACUGGGACUGAGACACGGCCCAGACUCCUACGGGAGGCAGCAGUAGGGAAUCUUCGGCAAUGGACGGAAGUCUGACCGAGCAACGCCGCGUGAGUGAAGAAGGUUUUAGGAUCGUAAAGCUCUGUUGUAAGAGAAGAACGAGUGUGAGAGUGGAAAGUUCACACUGUGACGGUAUCUUACCAGAAAGGGACGGCUAACUACGUG
rnacentral:rRNA from 1 species